AAGUGGCAAACAGAUGCAAUUAGAGACUGUUUAUUGUAAUUAUUAUUAAAGGUGUUUUAUUCUUUUCAGUUAAAAACACUCAUAAUUGGAGAGAGACUCUAAAGAAAAAAAUCCAAAUUAUUAUGUAUGGAAUUGCAUUAUUUGUGUUAUUUAUUUAUUUUUGUUUCUCAAAGGUUAUUUUUUGACCUGGAUACAAAUGCGGUCCAACCAAUGGGAUUGUUUGUCCCGCCUUGUGUUUUCAUGUUUGGUUGCGCUGCUACGGCUGCUUAGACCACACGCGCCAUAGCUGUACCUGUGGGGAAAACGUGGUAGCUGUUGGUGUCUGCUUGAUUAGCCGCCAGAUUUGGAUAGCCGAAGCUAGUUUUAUGAAUACGAAGUGCUUUGCACUGGUCAGGUUUUUUGAGUUGGAGAAAGGAGCUGAGACUCCCCAGAGAACUUUGGAUUACAGACUUUGUGAAAAUCCGCAGAAGAGGAAUAAUUUUCCAUUGCAAUGGAUGGCGAGCCACAGCCCAUUUGGAACUGAAUCUUGAAGUCUGGUUACCUGAACUGUGGUAGGACAAAACUGUGCAAACCAUACACCGAUCGUGGAUUGAACUCACACAAAUAACUCACCAGAUCACCAAACAGGCCUGAUCUGGAUCCUAUUGACACUUUAAAAGACCCGGAUCUAACAUUCGUUUCUUUUUUAUUUUGGGUAUCUGUGCGCGCACACACAAUUUUGGUUAUUAUUGUCAAAUGCAAUACAGUGCAUAAAUUUCAAAUACAGUUGAACCAUUGCUUCAUCA